UCACACUGCUAUGCUUUAUCUUGGCCAGGUCGCAGUUGCAAAUGAGAACUUGUUCUCAACUAGCCUACCUGGUUAAAUAAAGGUGAAAUAAAAAAUCCGGUUUAAUCUGAGUGUUAAAUGAACACAUUCAUAAAAUAUUGUUUCUGUUCACAGUUCAAAGAAUUUCUUGGCCCCUACAAUAAACUCAGAGAACUGCUUCAUGGACUGUAUGAGGGAUUUUACCACUAGAGAAGUAAAGCCAGAGUCCACCUGCUCAGAGAGCUGCCUACAGAAGUACCUGAAUGACCCAGCGCAUCCAGGAGUACCACAUCCAACAGAACGAAGCCCUGGCACAGAAAGCAGGUUUAAUGGGACCACGGUAGAGAACUACCGCCCUUUAAACAUGGACAUAACGCUAGUAGACCCCAUCCAGUCUGAUCACAGCAUGAUCUACACACCACCAUGACGCUGUUAUUUGUGAAUCAGCAGAUGGCUAACCUACAUCAUCUACUUCUCAGGUUGACUGCUUGGACACUUCUAACCAGAGGGCUGUUAUGAGCCCUCACAAGGAAAAGCCUGAUCAUGAUGUAUGAGAUCAUGCUGAGUUUUGAUCCAGGCAGAAUGUGAAUUGUUUAUUAGUGUAUGUAACGUAUUUUGUCUGAUGUGAAUUAAGAAUAACAUACUAGCAAUAACUUAGGAAAAGGGAACAAUUAACACUCCCAUAAAAAUCCAUAUUUGUAAGUAAAUGUCUUGUAACAUUGACCAGCUGUCCCCUCUUGUGCAACAGUCAUUAAAUAAAAUGACCUGGGUAUACUGGUAAUUUUCC